rnacentral:tRNA from 1 species
GGCCUUGAGGUGUUAGCAUAUUAGACUGCAAAUCUAAAGUAGCAGGUUGACGCCUGCCGGGGCUU